rnacentral:rRNA from 1 species
ACGGAGGGGGCUAGCGUUGUUCGGAAUUACUGGGCGUAAAGCGCACGUAGGCGGCUUUGUAAGUUAGAGGUGAAAGCCCGGGGCUCAACUCCGGAAUUGCCUUUAAGACUGCAUCGCUAGAAUUGUGGAGAGGUAAGUGGAAUUCCGAGUGUAGAGGUGAAAUUCGUAGAUAUUCGCAAGAACACCGGUGGCGAAGGCGGCCAACUGGUCCGAAACUGACGCUGAGGCGCGAAAGCGUGGGGAGCAAACAGGA